GUCAGCGUAGUUUAACUAAAACGCUAGGUUGUGAUUCUAGAAAUGGUGGUGAAACCCCUCUCGCUGACCU
rnacentral:tRNA from 1 species